rnacentral:rRNA from 1 species
UACAGAGGGGGCAAGCGUUGUCCGGAUUUAUUGGGCGUAAAGAGCGUGUAGGCGGCUAGAUAGGUCCGUUGUGAAAACUCGAGGCUCAACCUCGAGACGUCGAUGGAAACCAUCUGGCUAGAGUCCGGAAGAGGAGAGUGGAAUUCCUGGUGUAGCGGUGAAAUGCGCAGAUAUCAGGAAGAACACCCGUGGCGAAGGCGGCUCUCUGGUACGUGACUGACGCUGAGACGCGAAAGCGUGGGGAGCAAACAGG